CAUAGUUUAUUAGAUUUUAUUCUACAUGGAUACCUGUGGUAACCUAAGAGCUAAUACAUGCACUUAAGUCUUUACCUAACGGUGAAGACGCAGUUAUUAGUACAAAACCGAUCAGGCUUGCCUGUUAUUGGUGAAUCUGAAAAACUAUGCUGAUCGCACAGUCAUAGAACUGGCGACAAUUCUUUCAAAUGUCUGGCUUAUCAACUUUCGACGGUAGUAUACACGGCUACCGUGGUAGUUACGGGUAACGGAGAAUUAGGGUUCGACUCCGGAGAGGGAGCCUGAGAAAUGGCUACCACA
rnacentral:rRNA from 1 species